rnacentral:lncRNA from 1 species
CUCUGAGGUGGCCUGUGCCUGGGUGGCAGGGGGAGUGGAAGGAAUUGGACAGAUUCCUAGGACGGUUAUCACCUCCUGUAGCCUGGGAUCUCACCCCUGAACAGGCAAGCAACCCCACAAAAUUGACACAUCAUCUGAUAGAGGGGUGUCUUGCCUAUCCCAAUGAGAACCAGCAACUUCUAGCACUUUACUGGGGCCUGGCCUGUGCUUACCGAGCUGCAGUUCAGCACUCUCAAAGGACUGUGGUUGACAUGGGAACUCAAACAAUAACAACAACAGAGAUUGCCCCAGUAGUAAAAAAGAAACAGUGGACAAGGAGAACAACAGGCCCAUACCCUCGAUUAAUAAGGGAGGAGAAAGAAGAGGAAGAAGCUGGUCCUUCAGCAAAGGGAUCAGAAGAGGGAAUAACAGAGCUGAAACAGGAGGCAGAAACUACCCGGUCCCUGACGUCAUCAGAACUGCGAGAUCUGCGGAAAGACUAUUGCCGCCAGCCGGGUGAGCGGAUCGCUGCCUGGCUGCUGCGAUGCUGGGAUAAUGGGGCAGAUGCUCAGCAACUGGAAGGUAAGGAAGCCCAACAGCUGGGUUCCCUUGCUAGAAAUCGAGGAAUUGAAAGGGGAAUUGGAAAAGAGACAGCAAUUUGCAGUCUGUGGAGACGGCUCCUUUCAAGCGUUAAAGCAAGGUAUCCUUUUAAGGAAGAUCUUAUGGACAACACCCCAGGGAAGUGGACUACUGCAGAUGAAGGUGUCCAGUACCUGAGAGAAUUAGCAGUGAUGGAAGUCAUCUAUGGUAAUCCAGAUAAUGAUGAAGCCCCUAAAAAUCCAGAGGAUGUCCCAUGCACACGGGCCAUGUGGAGGAAGGUGAUUAAAGGUGCGCGAUCCUUGUAUUCUGCCGGCUUGGCCGCGAUGUACUACCCAGAAAUGGAUGCAGGAGAAGGACUAAGAUGUACGCCAACUGUGGAGGCAGUCUCUUCCUGGCUUCAGAACUUUGAAGAGAGUCUUGGUACCUCCUCAUCUCUACGGGCGAGUGCCCUGGAUGUUAGGAGCUCCCCAAGAAAUCAUUUCUCUUCUGUCCCAGUCAGGGGGAAAGGGAAGCCAAGGCGCAUGACACGUGGCAAACUCUGGUUCUUCCUGCGUGACCAGGGGGAGGACAUGAGGAAGUGGGAUGGUCAACCCACCUUUAAGUUGGAAGCACGUGUACAUGAAUUGCGAGGA